GGCGCGCUUGCGCAGAGCGAGGCCCCAGUGCGCAGGCUCGCAGCUGCCUCUGGACUUGGACAGCGACGGGCGAUGGCGUGAACCCGACUGCAGAGGCGGUUGGGGCAGGCCGGGCGGGACCGGCCAGGUGAACAACAGUUGUGUGCUGGCACCCAGGAUACUGAGUAAGCCCUCUGCUUGUCGACAGCAGGACACGAAGGCUCAGUAUCUGCAGAAGCAGUUUCCCCGUGUCUAAUUCGGGCUGGGGGACAGCAUGUCUUCACCUGAGGAUGUCAGAAGAGAACCUGGAAAACAUGAUGGCAGACACGCGGGUGCAGACGACCUGAAUUUGCCUUCUUCCAGUCAGAAAAGGACUCCUGACUCACAGGUUUUAGAAAAUAAAGUUUCCUGAGAACAGUUAAAAGCCUGUCAUCAGAAUUGUGAAUGUCAUCUUCAAGAGACUUCAGAAAGGCACAACUAAGAUGCUUAUGUAAUGAGUUUUCUGCUUAUUCAUAUUCAGAACUGGCCUUGUGAAUAAAGACAGAUGGCCCUCAAAUGUUUGAUAGUUGUCAUGGUAUGUCUCUUUGUAAACCUGAUUUAGCUUUCUUAGAAAUAUGAUGUGUUUAUGAUCUCAUAAAUAGCAUUAACACAUGAAAAAUAUAUUCUUGAGGGAGUGCAUUUCUUUAUCAUCUCAAGAGUUACACAGCUUCAAAUUCUUUUUGUAAAGGCAAUGUACUUAAAGUAGCAUAAAAUUUAGUAUGUUGCUAAAUUGUAUUAGAAAUUUAGUUUAUUUCCAGCAAGAAAAUUAUGUACUAGAAAUAAUAGGUCUGUUAGUAUAGUGAAUUCUUAGUAGUACAUGUGAAAAAAUAAAUUUAAAGAAUAUUUAAAAAGUGAAAAUUUUUUUUGACAGGCGGAGUGGACAGUGAGAGAGAGAGAGACAGAGAGAAAGGUCUUCCUUUUCCAUUGGUUCAUCCCCCAAUGGCCGCUGCGGCCAGCGCCCUGCGGCUGGUGCACCACGCCAAUCCGAAGCCAGGAGCCAGGUGCUUCUCCUGGUCUCCCAUGUGGGUGCAGGGCCCAAGGACUUGGGCCAUCCUCCACUGCACUCCCGGGCCACAGCAGAGAGCUGGCCUGCAAGAGGGGCAACCGGGACAGAAUCCGGCGCCCCAACCGGGACUAGAACCCGGUGUGCUGGUGCCGCAGGUGGAAAAUUAGCCUAUUGAGCUGUGGUGCUGGCCUAAAAAGUGAAAUU